rnacentral:rRNA from 1 species
CAGUAGCCGCGGUAAUACGUAGGUCCCGAGCGUUGUCCGGAUUUAUUGGGCGUAAAGGGAGCGCAGGCGGUUUAGUAAGUCUGAAGUUAAAGGCAUUGGCUCAACCAAUGUAUGCUUUGGAAACUGUUAGACUUGAGUGCAGAAGGGGAGAGUGGAAUUCCAUGUGUAGCGGUGAAAUGCGUAGAUAUAUGGAGGAACACCGGUGGCGAAAGCGGCUCUCUGGUCUGUCACUGACGCUGAGGCUCGAAAGCGUGGGUAGCGAACAGGAUUAGAUACCCCGGUAGUCCCUGUCUCUUAUACC